CCAACUUCUGAAUGUUGACCUCGGAUCAGGU
rnacentral:rRNA from 1 species